rnacentral:rRNA from 1 species
UGGGGAAUCAUGGUCAAUGGGCGAAAGCCUGAACCUGCCAAGUCGCGUGAAGGAAGAAGGUUCUAUGGAUUGUAAACUUCUUUUGCAGGGGAAUAAAGGACGGUACGUGUACUGUUUUGUAUGUACCUCGCGAAUAAGGAUCGGCUAACUCCGUGCCAGCAGCCGCGGUAAUACGGAGGAUCCGAGCGUUAUCCGGAUUUAUUGGGUUUAAAGGGUGCGUAGGUGGAUCGGUAAGUCAGUGGUGAAAGUUUUCAGCUCAACUGAAAAAUUGCCGUUGAAACUGGCGAUCUUGAGUGCAAAUGAGGUAGGCGGAAUGUGUGGUGUAGCGGUGAAAUGCUUAGAUAUAACACAGAACUCCGAUGGCGAAGGCAGCUUACUGGGAUGCAACUGACACUGAUGCGCGAAAGCGUGGGUAUCAAACA